UACGUAGGGGGCAAGCGUUAUCCGGAAUUACUGGGUGUAAAGGGUGAGUAGGCGGCAUGGUAAGCCAGAUGUGAAAGCCUUGGGCUUAACCCGAGGAUUGCAUUUGGAACUAUCGAGCUAGAGUACAGGAGAGGAAAGCGGAAUUCCUAGUGUAGCGGUGAAAUGCGUAGAUAUUAGGAAGAACACCAGUGGCGAAGGCGGCUUUCUGGACUGAAACUGACGCUGGGGCACGAAAGCGUGGGGUGCGAACAGG
rnacentral:rRNA from 1 species